rnacentral:rRNA from 1 species
UACGGAGGGAGCUAGCGUUGUUCGGAAUUACUGGGCGUAAAGCGCGCGUAGGCGGCUUUGUAAGUUAGAGGUGAAAGCCCGGGGCUCAACCCCGGAACUGCCUUUAAGACUGCAUCGCUUGAAUCCAGGAGAGGUGAGUGGAAUUCCGAGUGUAGAGGUGAAAUCGUAGAUAUUCGGAAGAACACCAGUGGCGAAGGCGGCUCACUGGACUGGUAUUGACGCUGAUGUGCGAAAGCGUGGGGAGCAAACAGG